GAAAUUUCCCUCAGGAUAGCAGCAACUUAUUUACGAUAGUUUUAUGAGGUAAAGCGAAUGAUUAGAGGAUUCGGGGAAGAAACUUCCUCGACCUAUUCUCAAACUUUAAAUCUGUAAGACCUGCAGGUUUCUUAAUUGAACUUGUGGAUGUGAAUAUCAAGUUGCUAGUGGGCCAUACGGGGUAAGCUCGUCUGGCGAUGCGGGAUGAACCGAACGCAAAGUUAAAGUGCCAAAAUGCUCGCUCACCUAGAUACCAUAAAAGGUGUUGGUUCAUUUAAACAGCAGGACGGUGGCCAUGGAACUCUCAAUCCGCUAAAGAGCGUGUAACAACUCACCUGCCGAAUGAACUAGCCCUGACUUGGAUGGGGCUAAUUCACGCUACUCUGCUCUCUCUAACAUACUUAAACCAAGUCUA
rnacentral:ncRNA from 1 species